AGACAGGGAUCACUGUCCCAGAUAACAAAGGUGGUUCGACACAGACCAGAAGUCUGCGUUGUUCAUUAUGUGUCCUCUUCUCUUGCUUCCGUGAUGGCAUGUCAUUGACACUUGACGGAGCGACCGGCACGUCACUCCUCUUAGGACAUGAUAGGAAACAGAAAAAAAAAAAAAAAUUAAUACAAAGCCACACGACAAAGAAAAUUUAUCAAAAUACCAGUUGACCACUUACCUUGUCAUCUUGUCCAAACUGGUCCACUCCGGAUUUUCCCGAUUUCUCACCACGAUUUCUCACAAUGGUGAGGGUCUUGGUCCCUCAUCAGUCACUGCUGCAACCUCCAACCAAUACUUCAAGAACACAGCAGACUGUGACAUCAGGUGACACUUGAUAUACCGUGGACUCGAGGAUCGCAGAGGGUGCCGAUGCCGAACCACCUGCGGCGCUCCUUACCAUGAGCCGCUCUGAGCCCAGCGGCCACCAUCACAACGAUGCUCAACCAGCCAACAACAGUCUGAGGUGGACGAAAUACGGCUGUUCCAGGAAGCAACACAAAGAACCCUUUCCAUAUCUUCUACACCAGGCAGGUCUUAGGAAAAAGUUCUCUGCCCUCCCUGUACGCACAUUUCUACGGAACGUUACUUUACCUUCUUCUAAGGAUCACAGUAGGAAGAGGACAAUGUUACUCGUUCUUAUCUUCUUAACCUUGAUGAACGUAGGCCAGGCACUUUUCCUGGCCUUCCUAUGGUUUAAUCAAUGAGGAACACGCAUAUGUACUUAAUGGCGUGUUUUCCAUGAAAUUCCUCACUGCGAAAAUGUUGUUUUACUAUACUUCCUUCAUAAUGAUAUUUCAUAUGGCAUUUUAUUUCAAAGUGUGUGUGUGUGGGUGGGUGAGUGGUUGGGUGUGUGUGUGUGUUGUUCUUCACCUUUUGCAAUAAAAUAUAUCAUAUAA